rnacentral:misc_RNA from 1 species
GAUGAAGAACGCAGCGAAAUGCGAUAAGUAAUGCGAAUUGCAGAAUUUCCGUGAGUCAUCGAAUCUUUGAACGCACAUUGCGCCCCUUGGUAUUCCAUGGGGCAUGCCUGUUCGAGCGUCAUUUGUACCUUCAAGCUUUGCUUGGUGUUGGGUGUUUGUCCAUUCUCUUGCAGAGGGACUCGCCUUAAAGUAAUUGGCAGCCAGUGUUUUGGUUUUGAAGCGCAGCACAAGUCGCGAUUCAAAGCUAUACGCCCGCUUCCACAAGCCUUUUUCACUUUUGACCUCGGAUCAGGUAGGGAUACCCGCUGAACUUAAGCAUAUCAAUAAGCGGAGGA